rnacentral:rRNA from 1 species
CAGGCUUAACACAUGCAAGUCGAGGGGCAGCAUGGUCUUAGCUUGCUAAGGCCGAUGGCGACCGGCGCACGGGUGAGUAACACGUAUCCAACCUGCCGUCUACUCUUGGACAGCCUUCUGAAAGGAAGAUUAAUACAAGAUGGCAUCAUGAGUCCGCAUGUUCACAUGAUUAAAGGUAUUCCGGUAGACGAUGGGGAUGCGUUCCAUUAGAUAGUAGGCGGGGUAACGGCCCACCUAGUCUUCGAUGGAUAGGGGUUCUGAGAGGAAGGUCCCCCACAUUGGAACUGAGACACGGUCCAAACUCCCACGGGAGGCAGCAGUGAGGAAUAUUGGUCAAUGGGCGAGAGCCUGAACCAGCCAAGUAGCGUGAAGGAUGACUGCCCUAUGGGUUGUAAACUUCUUUUAUAAAGGAAUAAAGUCGGGUAUGGAUACCCGUUUGCAUGUACUUUAUGAAUAAGGAUCGGCUAACUCCGUGCCAGCAGCCGCGGUAAUACGGAGGAUCCGAGCGUUAUCCGGAUUUAUUGGGUUUAAAGGGAGCGUAGAUGGAUGUUUAAGUCAGUUGUGAAAGUUUGCGGCUCAACCGUAAAAUUGCAGUUGAUACUGGAUAUCUUGAGUGCAGUUGAGGCAGGCGGAAUUCGUGGUGUAGCGGUGAAAUGCUUAGAUAUCACGAAGAACUCCGAUUGCGAAGGCAGCCUGCUAAGCUGCAACUGACAUUGAGGCUCGAAAGUGUGGGUAUCAAACAGGAUUAGAUACCCUGGUAGUCCACACGGUAAACGAUGAAUACUCGCUGUUUGCGAUAUACUGCAAGCGGCCAAGCGAAAGCGUUAAGUAUUCCACCCUGGGGAGUACGCCGGCAACGGUGAAACUCAAAGGAAUUGACGGGGGCCCGCACAAGCGGAGGAACAUGUGGUUUAAUUCGAUGAUACGCGAGGAACCUUACCCGGGCUUAAAUUGCAGAUGAAUUACGGUGAAAGCCGUAAGCCGCAAGGCAUCUGUGAAGGUGCUGCAUGGUUGUCGUCAGCUCGUGCCGUGAGGUGUCGGCUUAAGUGCCAUAACGAGCGCAACCCUUGUUGUCAGUUACUAACAGGUUCCGCUGAGGACUCUGACAAGACUGCCAUCGUAAGAUGUGAGGAAGGUGGGGAUGACGUCAAAUCAGCACGGCCCUUACGUCCGGGGCUACACACGUGUUACAAUGGGGGGUACAGAGGGCCGCUACCACGCGAGUGGAUGCCAAUCCCCAAAACCUCUCUCAGUUCGGACUGGAGUCUGCAACCCGACUCCACGAAGCUGGAUUCGCUAGUAAUCGCGCAUCAGCCACGGCGCGGUGAAUACGUUCCCGGGCCUUGUACACACCGCCCGUCAAGCCAUGGGAGCCGGGGGUACCUGAAGUGCGUAACCGCGAGGAGCGCCCUAGGGUAAAACUGGUGACUGGGG